UACGGAGGGUGCGAGCGUUGUCCGGAAUCACUGGGCGUAAAGGGCGCGUAGGUGGCCGAGCAAGGUCGCGGUGAAAGCCCGGGGCUCAACCCCGGGUCGGCCGUGGCAACUACUUGGCUUGAGCACUGUAGGGGCGGGUGGAAUUCCGGGUGUAGUGGUGGAAUGCGUAGAGAUCCGGAGGAACACCAGCGGCGAAGGCGGCAUCCUGGACUGGUCCUGACACUCAGGAGCGAAAGCGUGGGGAGCGAUCCGG
rnacentral:rRNA from 1 species